rnacentral:rRNA from 1 species
CCUACGGGGGGCUGCAGUGGGGAAUUUUGGACAAUGGGCGCAAGCCUGAUCCAGCAAUGCCGCGUGUGCGAAGAAGGCCUUCGGGUUGUAAAGCACUUUUGUUUGGAAAGAAAAGGUCAGCGCUAAUACCGCUGGCUGAUGACGGUACCAAUCGAAUAAGCACCGGCUAACUACGUGCCAGCAGCCGCGGUAAUACGUAGGGUGCAAGCGUUAAUCGGAAUUACUGGGCGUAAAGCGUGCGCAGGCGGUUGUGUAAGACAGAUGUGAAAUCCCCG